rnacentral:rRNA from 1 species
AACACGUGAGCAACCUGCCCCUGACUCUGGGAUAAGCGCUGGAAACGGCGUCUAAUACCGGAUAUGAGCUGCGAUCGCAUGGUCAGCAGUUGGAAAGAUUUUUCGGUCUGGGAUGGGCUCACGGCCUAUCAGCUUGUUGGUGAGGUAAUGGCUCACCAAGGCGUCGACGGGUAGCCGGCCUGAGAGGGUGACCGGCCACACUGGGACUGAGACACGGCCCAGACUCCUACGGGAGGCAGCAGUGGGGAAUAUUGCACAAUGGGCGAAAGCCUGAUGCAGCAACGCCGCGUGAGGGAUGACGGCCUUCGGGUUGUAAACCUCUUUUAGCAGGGAAGAAGCGAAAGUGACGGUACCUGCAGAAAAAGCGCCGGCUAACUACGUGCCAGCAGCCGCGGUAAUACGUAGGGCGCAAGCGUUAUCCGGAAUUAUUGGGCGUAAAGAGCUCGUAGGCGGUUUGUCGCGUCUGCUGUGAAAUCCCGAGGCUCAACCUCGGGUCUGCAGUGGGUACGGGCAGACUAGAGUGCGGUAGGGGAGAUUGGAAUUCCUGGUGUAGCGGUGGAAUGCGCAGAUAUCAGGAGGAACACCGAUGGCGAAGGCAGAUCUCUGGGCCGUUACUGACGCUGAGGAGCGAAAGGGUGGGGAGCAAACAGGCUUAGAUACCCUGGUAGUCCACCCCGUAAACGUUGGGAACUAGUUGUGGGGUCCAUUCCACGGAUUCCGUGACGCAGCUAACGCAUUAAGUUCCCCGCCUGGGGGAGUACGGCCGCAAGGCUAAAACUCAAAGGAAUUGACGGGGACCCGCACAAGCGGCGGAGCAUGCGGAUUAAUUCGAUGCAACGCGAAGAACCUUACCAAGGCUUGACAUAUACGAGAACGGGCCAGAAAUGGUCAACUCUUUGGACACUCGUAAACAGGUGGUUGCAUGGUUGUCGUCAGCUCGUGUCGUGAGAAUGUUUGGGUUAAGUCCCGCAA